UUAUAUAUAUAUCAACUUUCAUUAUAUAUAUAUAUCAACUUUCAUUAUAUAUAUAUAUCGACUUUCAUUAUAUAUAUAUAUAUAUCAACUUUCAUUAUAUAUAUAUCAAAUCUUUUUUUCCUACCGAGCCCCGGAAGGGACAUGUCCGUAUGGCGAAGCGACAAUGAAGGACACUCACCCGGACGAGAAUUUUAUUGAGUUUUAUUUUGAAAUCGGCCUGAAAUACACAGACAUUCAAGCAGUGCGAUGCGCUAAGAGUCUGCCAUGCAGACCAGCGAUCCUGAUAAUGAUGCUAUCAACAGCAUGUCUUGUUCAUUUUAUUAAGUUGUCGGCCUUGGAUGAUGAGGUCCAGUUACCAGGAGCACUAGUCUGCAGCUUACUGGUUCCGUCCUGCAGCUCCUCCACGCCGUCCUCCUCUCUACAGACCAAAUCAAGAAAAGGGAACCAGGAAGCUGCUUUGGAUCCUCUGCAGUAUCUGGAGAGGUCAGAGGAACGGUUCUUGGAACAGAUCGGAAGACACCAAGACGUGACCUCUGCCAUUCUCCAGAACAUCCAGAAGAUGAAUGAAAACCUUGGUUGCACUGAUGGGACGCAUGGUGUCGGUGCUGGAGCAACUGUCCCAGAAUUAAACUGCAUUGUUGACUAUUGGCUUUUCUAGAAAAUAAAUCUUUUUUAGUACUUCACCUGUUUUGUAUUUUACUCAUGCACUUUGGGUGAAUAAACAGAAAUUUGUGAUGAGAGAUGCAAA